UACAGAGGGGGCAAGCGUUGUUCGGAAUUACUGGGCGUAAAGGGCGCGUAGGCGGCCUGUUAAGUCGAACGUGAAAUCCCCGGGCUCAACCCGGGAACUGCGUCCGAUACUGGCAGGCUUGAAUUCGGGAGAGGGAUGCGGAAUUCCAGGUGUAGCGGUGAAAUGCGUAGAUAUCUGGAGGAACACCGGUGGCGAAGGCGGCAUCCUGGACCGACACUGACGCUGAUGCGCGAAAGCUAGGGGAGCAAACGGG
rnacentral:rRNA from 1 species